rnacentral:tRNA from 1 species
UCCCUGGUGGCCCAGGGGUUGAGAGUUUGCCUUCCAGUGCAGGGGAUGCAGGUUUGAUCCCUGCUCAGGGAA